CUCAUCUCAUGAUGCUCUGACUAAAGAGACCAAGAUAAAGAAGGAGAGCUUAAAUAAAGGGAAACAACACAAGCAGCACAGAGAGAUGGAGACCUCGCUCAUACUGAAGUGGAGGAAACAGACGCAGGAAACAUGAUUCACAGGGAAAAAAGCUUCCACACAGCUGUGACGAACUGCUGGUGCUCGCUUCCGCAACACAUAUACCUGUGACAAACUGCUGGAGAAUACUAAGGCAGUAUUUUCAUUGAGAGAGAGAAAUCCUACAGGGUGGAGCAACGGGGAACACUGACAGCUUAUUUAAAGAGGCACCAGGAAAUGUGCCUCUUUCACCAAAGAGGAAACGUGUUCUGAGCCAUUCAUCCAGCACGGACUCCAGGAUUUGAUCUGGCUUUUGGAAUAUGAAGUAGUGUUUGGUUUUAAGGUGCUUUUGAAAGAAAAACUUUCGUUACAUCAAAUUUAGCAGAGUCCAUCUGAACAAAGAUCAAUUCCUGCAUCACACAGUGCUAGAAUAAGAAGAGCUUCGCAGACCUGUGUGUUAGCAGGGUGAGCAGUGGGCUUUGGGAGGAUGAAUGAGGAAGUGAAGUAAAGAAAUUAUCUGAA